UGUGUGCAAGCUUACAAUUGAUUACUUAACCUAGAAUUGUUCACCAGCAUGUAAAAAUAUGAUAAUUUUCAUGGUGUACACUAUAACCGGAUAUUGGUAUUUAAUCACGAUAUUUACUUGGGAUAUUCUGUAAUUAUAAAAGGGGCGUCAGGACCUGGCUUCACAAGUGGCAGUGAUCACGGACAUCAGGAACAAUGAGAUGCAGGGAAUCCGGUGUAAAAUUUGUGGCAUGGGGAAGUCGGAUUCUUAUGGGUGGCGAGAUGGCAGAUGCCAUCGGUGUAGUAAUUAUCAUUACAGAACAAAAAGAGAACGUCCGGUGAAAUUUCGUAGAUGAAUCCACCAAAAUUGUAAUAUCACUCC